AGAGUUUGAUCCUGGCUCAGAGCGAACGCUGGCGGCGUGGCUUAGGCAUGCAAGUCGAACGGUUCUUUGGUCCAAAGCCGCAAGGCUGAGGACUGGAGAACAGUGGCGAACGGGUGAGUAACACGUGGGCAACCUGCCUCGGGGAUCGGGACAACAGCUCGAAAGGGCUGCUAAUACCGGAUGAGACCACGGGACCGCAUGGUCCUGAGGUUAAAGUUGGGGACCGCAAGGCCUGACACCCUGAGAGGGGCCCGCGACCUAUCAGCUAGUUGGUAGGGUAACGGCCUACCAAGGCUUUUGACGGGUAGCUGGACUGAGAGGUUGACCAGCCACACUGGGACUGAGACACUGCCCAGACUCCUACGGGAGGCUGCAGUCGAGAAUCUUUUGCAAUGGGCGAAAGCCUGACCAUGCGACGCCGCGUGGAGGAUGAAGGUCUUCGGAUCGUAAACUCCUGUCAGAUCGGACGAAGGUGUACGUGCCUUAAUACGGUGGUGCACUGAGGUACGAUCAGAGGAAGCCACGGCUAACUCCGUGCCAGCAGCCGCGGUAAUACGGAGGUGGCGAGCGUUGCUCGGAUUCAUUGGGUGUAAAGGGCAGGUAGGCGGUCGCAUAAGUCGAAUGUGAAAUCCCACGGCUCAACCGUGAACUGCGUUCGAAACUGCGCGACUGGAGGACGGGAGAGGAGAGUGGAAUUCCCGGUGUAAGGGUGAAAUCUGUAGAUAUCGGGAGGAACACCAGUGGCGAAUGCGACUCUCUGGCCCGUAUCUGACGCUGAACUGCGAAAGCGUGGGGAGCAAACAGGAUUAGAUACCCUGGUAGUCCACGCUGUAAACGAUGGGCACUAGGUGUGGGCGGGGUUAAACCCGUCCGUGCCGAAGGUAACCCAUUAAAGUGCCCCACCUGGGGACUACGACGGCAACGUUGAAACUCAAAGGAAUUGACGGGGGCCCGCACAAGCGGUGGAGCGUGUGGUUCAAUUCGACGCUACGCGAAGAACCUCACCAAGGCUUGACAUACAGGUGGUAGGAAACUGAAAGGGGACCGACCCCGCAAGGGGAGCCUGUACAGGUGCUGCAUGGCUGUCGUCAGCUCGUGCCGUGAGGUGUUGGGUUAAGUCCCGCAACGAGCGCAACCAUUGCCCUUAGUUGCUACGGUGAAAGCCGGCACUCUAGGGGGACUGCCAGCGAUAAGCUGGAGGAAGGUGGUGAUGACGUCAAGUCAGUACGGCCCUUAUGCCUUGGGCUACACACGCGCUACAAUGCCUGGUACAGAGGGUUGCCAACCCGCGAGGGGGAGCCAAUCCCAGAAAACCAGGCCCAGUUCAGAUUGCAGGCUGCAACUCGCCUGCAUGAAGUCGGAAUCGCUAGUAAGCGCGGAUCAGCCACGCCGCGCUGAAUACGUUCCCGGGCCUUGUACACACCGCCCGUCAAGCCAUGGGAGCUGGGGGCACCUGAAGUCGCUGUCCCAACCCGCAAGGGAGGGAGG
rnacentral:rRNA from 1 species